CACGUAGGCGGAUAUUUAAGUCAGGGGUGAAAUCCCAGAGCUCAACUCUGGGACUGCCUUUGAUACUGGGUAUCUUGAGUGUGGAAGAGGUAAGUGGAAUUCCGAGUGUAGAGGUGAAAUUCGUAGAUAUUCGGAAGAACACCAGUGGCGAAGGCGACACACUGGCUCAUUACUGACGCUGAGGCUCGAAAGCGUGGGGAGCAAACA
rnacentral:rRNA from 1 species